rnacentral:rRNA from 1 species
CACCGCCCGUCGCACCACGAAAGUCAGCUGAACCAGAAGUCGCUGUGCCAACCGCAAGGAGGCAGGCGCCGAAGGUUUGGCUGGUGAUUGGGGUG